AUGGCUAUUCAGGACCGCAAUUCUGAAUUUCUUUGACACAAGACGAAAGACGUCCGCCAUCUUGACUUUUUCCCGCGAACAACCAUAGUCAACUUUCUAGGAUUCGGAAAGUGAACGCUGAUUGGCUAAUUUGUUUUGCCGCUCUGUGGAGCAGGCGCUCGUGGGGCCUAGGGAAACGGGGUCCCUAAGAGCGACGCGUAGGAGGCUACGAAAGGAUAUGGUUGGUAAAUGAACAUUGCAUGAUCUGUGAAUUAGGCCUCAUGAACUGUAUCUCUAAUGAGCUAAUCUGUCUGCAGGGCUGAAUGAUAUGUAUGUUUUGCUUUUAAAAUGAAAUUGCACAUAUAUCUUAAAAGUUUUAUUGAGCAAAAAUGAUAACAACCAGAAUUUGUUUUAAAGAAUUGUUAUUAUUAGGGAAACAUCACCACUCCGACACUACAUCAAACGCUAAAAUACCAGAUCACCCCCAUACAGUAUUUGGUGUUUUUUAUACCACUCGAAAAGCAGUGUUGUUCAGCUAAUUACUAUGAAUUCAGAUGACUCUCUCUUUCCGAUGGAUUAUACAAUUAUUUUAAUAAGAAGUUCAAUGGAAAAGGAAAAGAUAGAAAAGUGUUGUCGAACUAAAAAAAAUAACUUAAUCUUUUUAUUUAUUUUAUGAAGAAAGAAAAGAUAGGUAAGUGGUGUCAAACUAGAAAAAAAUAACUUAAUCUUUUUAUUCAAUUUUAUUCUUUAAAUAUUUAAAUGUUUUAAAAACAACUUAUUUCACAACUUGGUGCUUAUUGUGUACAAAACAGACUCAAGCUGAUCCAAGCUAAUGUCUCCAAAUUCAUUUAUACUUUUGAAAGACAAGAUGAACAGUUUAUGAAUAUGUAUAUGUAAAAAAAUUGAGGUGGCACACCAUUUGUAUCUAAAUCAUUUAUAGACAAAAUAUAUAGCAUAAUUCUGAACAAUAAAAUGUGACUAAAAUUUAUUACAUUCACGAUGCUGUUUAAUAAAAACAAUGCCUAUUGUAUGGAAAGUCUAGCAUACAGAAUUUUUUACACAGUCGCAUGUGAGAGGUCAAGGCAAUACAAAAUGGUGGCAGUCCGUAGCGUGCUUGCGUUUACUUGUUGGAUCCUUCAUAACAUAGAGAAAUAUUCCAGAUCAUCUUAUAUCUUCUUGGUUAACUAACACUAAUUUCGGUCAUCGUGUCGAUUUGGGUUUCCUGUUUAACAAGCCGCCGCCAUCUUGGGAACGAAAUCUCCCGUCCCCUCCCCCGAUGCGUAAUUAGUAGUCUAUGCGUUGCCUUUCCAGCUUCAAUUUGGACGGCGUCUGUACCAAGAUUUGGGCUACCUUUGGAAGUCCGCGAUACAAAGCGACCAUGAUUUUUCGCACUUGCCCUGCGUUUACGAUUGAAAGCUCCUUCUUCGAUUUAUACCGCGAAUACGAUGGCGAUAUCAAAAAAUUAUUUGCAAUGUCCAGUCCAGAACUACUAUGAUUGCAAAUCAUUUCCCAAGAAAUAAAACAGAAUUGAUUGCUACAUUAUUUUAAACCAAGGCAAACACAGCCACGGAGGAGACACGGAGGAGAAAUCCACGGAAGAGAAAUCCAGUGAAUACCUGAGCAGUAAUCUUUUCAGUAGCUAUUAUCAUGGCCACCACUUAGACCCAAAUAGCUUACUUCGUAUGUACAGGCAUGCAGCCCCGGGUGGGCAAACGGGUUGUGACCCUCCCACUCAGCUACCAAAAAGCAGUCUUUUUAAAAUAUACUUACUCUCCAUAAUAUUUAUGACUGCCCAUCCCCUCCACAGCUAAUCAGAUUGUUUGUUAUGGUUAUCAGACUUCACCUUUCCUUUUCUAGACAUACAAUGCCUUCAAUUAAAUAAUUUCUUUUGUUUAAUAAAAUAAGACUACAAGCAA